GUGCCAGACUCCUACGGGAGGCAGCAGUGGGGAAUAUUGCGCAAUGGGCGAAAGCCUGACGCAGCGACGCCGCGUGAGGGAUGAAGGUCUUCGGAUCGUAAACCUCUGUCAGCAGGGAAGAACGGUCACUGUGCUAAUCAGCAGUGAAUUGACGGUACCUGCAAAGGAAGCACCGGCUAACUCCGUGCCAGCAGCCGCGGUAAUACGUAGGGGGCAAGCGUUAUCCGGAAUUACUGGGUGUAAAGGGAGCGCAGACGGCAGUGCAAGUCUGGAGUGAAAGCCCGUGGCUUAACCACGGGACUGCUCUGGAAACUGUGCAGCUAGAGUGCAGGAGAGGCAGGCGGAAUUCCUAGUGUAGCGGUGAAAUGCGUAGAUAUUAGGAGGAACACCAGUGGCGAAGGCGGUCUGCUGGACAGCAACUGACGGUGAGGCGCGAAAGCGUGGGGAGCGAACAGGAUUAGAUACCCGAGUAUC
rnacentral:rRNA from 1 species